UACGAAGGGGGCUAGCGUUGCUCGGAAUCACUGGGCGUAAAGCGCACGUAGGCGGAUUGUUAAGUCAGGGGUGAAAUCCUGGAGCUCAACUCCAGAACUGCCUUUGAUACUGGCGAUCUCGAGUCCGGGAGAGGUGAGUGGAACUGCGAGUGUAGAGGUAAAAUUCGUAGAUAUUCGCAAGAACACCAGUGGCGAAGGCGGCUCACUGGCCCGGUACUGACGCUGAGGUGCGAAAGCGUGGGGAGCAAACAGG
rnacentral:rRNA from 1 species